AGAGUUUGAUCAUGGCUCAGGACGAACGCUGGCGGCGUGCUUAACACAUGCAAGUCGAGCGGAAAGGCCCUUCGGGGUACUCGAGCGGCGAACGGGUGAGUAACACGUGAGCAACCUGCCCCUGGCUCUGGGAUAGCCUCCGGAAACGGGGAUUAAUACCGGAUAUGACCUGUGGUUUCAUGACUGCGGGUGGAAAGUUU
rnacentral:rRNA from 1 species